GGAUGUGAGGACAAUCUGGCUGAGACAUCUGUCACCCCAUUGAUUGUCAGGGUUGCCUUGGCUGAUCUGGUUGGCGAGGGAGGUGUCCCCCUCCUCCCUCAACACUCCAUGGGUGUCCCUCCUGAAGCUGCACACUCCAUCAGAGGACAACUUUCCCCAAUAGAGGAGGACCAUUCUUCAGUGUAGGGUAUAUGAGUAGCUGAGCUCUCUUGCUAGAAUGUCCAAAUAAGUUCUCAAGGUCCAUUUGUAGAGCAUAGGAUAGCCAAACUUCCAAAGCUCCAGACAUGUCCAAAUGAGGUGCUGCGUGUGGCAGUCUGCCUUU
rnacentral:snRNA from 1 species